rnacentral:rRNA from 1 species
UACGAAGGACCCAAGCGUUAUCCGGAUUUAUUGGGUUUAAAGGGUGCGUAGGCGGGUUAUUAAGUCAGUGGUGAAAGCUCCUAGCUCAACUGGGAAAUUGCCAUUGAUACUGAUGAUCUUGAGUAUGAUUGAGGUGGGCGGAAUGUGUCAUGUAGCGGUGAAAUGCUUAGAUAUGACACAGAACACCGAUUGCGAAGGCAGCUCACUAAGCCAUAACUGACGCUGAUGCACGAAAGCGUGGGGAGCAAACAGG